AGCAUUCUUGCUAUCAUCAUGAUUGUGGAAGCUAAUGUGUUUUUACUGUCAAGCAUUCUUGCUAUCAUUAUGAUUGCGGAAGCAAAGGUUAUGAGCACACAAUAAAUUAUUAUUCAUGUAUGAGAAAAAAACUAAAAUAUACCGUUUUGUCCUAGUGUCAUUUACUGUUUUAUGUAUUUUUGGUCAAAAUUAUUUGCCAGUUCAGUACUUGUUCACAUUAGAUGCUAAAUCUGGACAAAUGAUUGAUGCAUUCCAAUUUCUUGCUUGCCAUUACCUGGGUUCUUUUUAUAUUCCUUUUUAAGGGUUUGAGUGGUUGAAGUGUCACCCAGAGCAAGAUCUGAAAUCUAAUUAGUAAAUCAAUUCUUCAUACAAUCUGAUGCACUACAUGUGAGCUUUUCUCAAGAGAAGAAAGGUGCUGCAUCAUAACUUUUCACUAUAUUACCAGCCAAGCCAAACUGGGACAGUUUUAGUAGAAACCUCAUUUUUCAUAACUUAUUUUGUUGCAAGGGAAAAUGAUCAGGUUUCGAUAAAUGAGUAGUCUACGGUGCUAUUCCUUUGUUAUUGAAUGAAGCUACUCUGCUCGUGCAUAUCAGAGUGACUUUCAUAAAACUAGGUAUUCCACUUCUGCGUUGUCAUUGAACUACAUCAGACAUGUCUCCACUCAUUACCGCCCAAUCCCCACAACUCUGCUGAAAACAGGAUAAGGACAUUUCUCCCCUGCUUUCCGUGAGGUCAAAGGGACCUUUCAGAAAAUUUGAAAAAUGCAGUUAUCCUUUUCUAUAGGUGUCUUUGUAGUUAUCUUCUGUUGAAACUGCCAGAAGUUUAUGUGUAGGGGAGGUAGACACUAACAUGAAUUCCCACCAAAUCAGGAUUAGGUCCAGCUUGUAAGUUCCUGAUGAAGUGUUAUACCAUAUAUACACUUACCCAGUACACUAUUUACAAACAGUGACAGUCCAAUAGCCACUGGGAUCAUAAACAUAGCCCUUGAUGCCACACCUAACAAUGAAGCUACCAAUGGCUGCAAUACAAUGCAAGGCUUCCAAAAGAAUAAAACAAUCCAGUGGGUGCAGCAGAGCCUGAUGGCCUGGUUUCACCAGAGAAAAAUGGCUGGAGAACAAUCAUUAGGAAAGGGCCCCAGUUGAAAGAACUAAUCUCUUUAUUGCUGAUGCGAGAUGGGGCCUGUCCAUGAUUCUCCAGAUGCUGCCUAAUUUUUUACCCCACUUUUUUUUCUCUUUUCAGAUUCAAAUGGCACGAAAAAGAGCAAAUUUAUUAUACAACGUGCAAAGGUUGAGGAAACUACUGUUGGGAUUGUGAUGGCUGUCAGGCCUAUUGGAAAUGGACAUAAAAGGACCUAUGAAAUGGAAGAAGAGAGCAGCAGAAUCUAAAAGAUUGCCUACAUGUUUGUAAAGCUUAUGCCGCAUAUACCAACAACAGCUACCAUUGAUGAAUGAUGAGCAAAUAAAAGUGAUGGGCAGUUACACGGACACACCACGGAAGGUGGAGGCAAUGAUAUGGAUAUCUUGUCAGGUAAUUCUGGGCUAACCCAGAUUCAGAUGUUGGGUUAGUAGAAUACAAAAGGCAUCUAUCGUGUAUGUGUGUAGUGGUGGACCAAAGUGUAUAUGGCUGCAUACGAAGCUGCAGGGUUUACACCAGAGUUUUGCAUAUCCUGUCUCGGAGGACAGUGGGCAUAUUUUUGUAGUGCAUGUUUGAGGAAACUGCAUGCAUGGUCCUAACGUUUUCCUUAAAAAAAACACAAGUGGACUAGAAAAAAAAAGUUGAAGGCAUGUAUCCUACGUUGGAAUUUCCAAAUGUGGACAAAAAAUAAUACCAGCUCCAAAACCAUAAAAUCCAUUUCUGAUGCAUCGGACGAUUGGUGACGUGACAAGUCAUGUAAAUGUUUGUCGGUCAGAUCCCGUGUGUACACACAGUCGGCCAGGAAACGAUGACUGGUUGUGUCGGUGUGUGGGGGGAUCCAUCCGUCGGCCGGAAUACACAAGCGCAACAGCUAGCCGGUACGGUGUAUCCGAUC